AAUAGUGAUAUUAAGCAAAACCCAAAAAGACAGUCUCAGUUCGGAUUGAAGGCUGAAAUUCGCCUUCAUGAAGCCGGAAUUGCUAGUAAUGGCAGGUCAGCAUACUGCCGUGAAUACGUUCCCGGGCCUUGUACACACCGCCCGUCACACCAUGAGAGUUGGGGAUACCCGAAGCCUGUGAGCUAACAGUAAUGAAGCAGCAGUCGAAGGUAGAAUCAAUGAUUGGGGUGAAGUCGUAACAAGGUACC
rnacentral:rRNA from 1 species